CAGCAGCCGCGGGAAUACGGAGGGUGCAAGCGUUAAUCGGAAUUGCUGGGCGUAAAGCGCACGCAGGCGGUUUGUUAAGUCAGAUGUGAAAUCCCCGAGCUUAACUUGGGAACUGCAUUUGAAACUGGCAAGCUAGAGUCUUGUAGAGGGGGGUAGAAUUCCAGGUGUAGCGGUGAAGUGCGUAGAGAUCUGGAGGAAUACCGGUGGCGAAGGCGGCCCCCUGGACAAAGACUGACGCUCAGGUGCGAAAGCGUGGGGAGCAAACAGGAUUAGAUACCCCGGUAGUCCCUGUCUCUUAUAC
rnacentral:rRNA from 1 species